GCCUCCCUUCCGAGGAGGCGGGGCUGGGGCGGGCGCAGGACUGCAGGCUGGGGCUCCGCCACCCGGCGCGAGCCCGCGCGUGGUUCCCAGCGAAGUCACCGGGCGGCUGGGCCCAUCGUGAGUAUUCUCCGCCCGCUGUCCUCCCCCUGCAGGCGGCAGCGCCCGUUUAUUUGAGCCAUGUGAAGAUGUGCCUGCUUCGCCUUCCAUCAUGACAGAAGUUUCCUGAGGCCUCCCCAGCUAUGCUCCCUAUACAGCCUGCAGAACGGUCGGCUGCCUCCAAUCCUGAGGUCAUCACUCAUCAAGAGGGGAUAAUCCCAGGGACAGCAGGAUCUGCUUCGUUACUUGGAUUUAGGAGCCAGAAACCCAUCAGGCAACUAAACAGUAACAAUGACCCACCAUUAAACACACUGAGAGAAGAGCAUGAUGAGGAGUUUGUACAAGAAAAAGCCAGGAGCGCUUGCUGACAAUGCUUACAGAGAUGCAGACUUCUAUGAGCUCUGCCUGUUGAACUGCAGUAAAAAUAGAUCUCCUUCCCCAGAGAUGCUUGGAUGUUGGCACAAUAUCAGUUCAGAUGAUAGUCAAUGCAUGGACUUAAUAGAGUGAAAAGACUUUGGACUGUGAAGUCAGAUUACCUGGGUCUGAAUUCUACUUCUUCUACUUCUUUGUAGUAUGCUUUCACCACAUUAAAAAUUGUCUGAGCCUCAAU
rnacentral:lncRNA from 1 species